rnacentral:rRNA from 1 species
GAUGAACGCUGGCGGCGUGCUUAACACAUGCAAGUCGAACGAAGCACUUUAUUUGAUUUCCUUCGGGACUGAUUAUUUUGUGACUGAGUGGCGGACGGGUGAGUAACGCGUGGGUAACCUGCCUUGUACAGGGGGAUAACAGUUGGAAACGGCUGCUAAUACCGCAUAAGCGCACAGCAUCGCAUGAUGCAGUGUGAAAAACUCCGGUGGUAUAAGAUGGACCCGCGUUGGAUGAGCUAGUUGGUGAGGUAACGGCCCACCAAGGCGACGAUCCAUAGCCGACCUGAGAGUGUGACCGGCCACAUUGGGACUGAGACACGGCCCAAACUCCUACGGGAGGCAGCAGUGGGGAAUAUUGCACAAUGGGCGAAAGCCUGAUGCAGCGACGCCGCGUGAGCGAAGAAGUAUUUCGGUAUGUAAAGCUCUAUCAGCAGGGAAGAUACUGACGGUACCUGACGAAGAAGCACCGGCUAAAUACGUG